GCAGAGGAAGGAAGGAGGAGCUCCAGAGAGGGUGGCGGCCCCUCUACCUCUUGCUGCCUCGCUCUCUGGGUUUGCCGCGGAGGAAAGCACGUGCUUCCCCUGCAGUCUGCCAGCAUGACCUUUUUGCAGGUAAAUGCACUGGAGAGGAACAACGAGGUCAAAUAAGUGCUAGAAGCAAAAGUGUCUCAGUUGUGAUUCUGCCACUGCUUGGAUUUUCCCCGUGAAACUCAUUCUUUCAAGAGAAAACAUACUUUUGUAUAAAACUCCAAGAGCCUCUCCUGAUCUAGAAUUAUUCAGAGACACCGGCAUAUUUUCAAGGUACAACAAAUUGUAAUACAGGAAAAAGUAAAUAAAUGGAGAAUGGUGCAUUUACGGAGAACAACCAAAUUAAUGAUUUAAGAUAAGGAAGUUUAAGUUGCGAGGCAUGGUAACAUCAGAAGUCAGUUCCGACAGAAACAUCAGAAAAGCUGGCAGAUUUUCUGAGGUAUAAGAAACCUGCUUUUAGUGACCACAUCAUAGUCACGUAGCCCAUGGAAAAUAAUAGCAAUAUUUGCAUCAACCUUUAGUUGCUAGAACCAGCCUGCAAUCUAUAUUCUGAAUGUGAUUUUUCCAUGGUCGUGUACUUCAUAUUUUAGAACUUCUAAGAGUUUAUGCUGGGGAGCACAAAAUAGCGUAAACCAAAGCAAAUGUUUAUGUAUCAAAUCAUGUAUGUUAUGUACCUAAUGGAAAAGAGACUUUCUGAAUUAAAUUCUUAUGUUGGAUGUUU